rnacentral:lncRNA from 1 species
ACAAGAUGCACAGACAAAUAUAUACAAUCACAAUAUAUGGCUCAAGUGAGCAAAGUAAAAAUGACAUAAACACAAAACAAGUUAAAUGAUAUGUAAAAAGGCAAAUGAAAUUAUAAAUGGCUUGAAUUUAAAUUGCAUAAAUUAAAUUACUUGAAAUUAAAAGCAAGAAUAAUAAGAGUUAGUCAAAUGUUAGUUGAUUAGAUGUUAGUGGAGUUUUGCUUUUCAAUUGAUUAAGCCAUUCUUUG